CUUAUCUUGGUGUAAGGUCAAAGAUGAGAGAAGAACAACUCUGUUUUUCCUUGAAUUUGGUUUCUAUCUACCGAACACUUUCAUUUCGUUUCGUAAUUACCGAAUUCGUGUUGAUUUAGGCAAAAAUGAAGAAAUGUCGUCGUUUCGGUAGUCACGAACCGAAUUCUCUAUGUUUCGGUAAUCACAAACCGAAAUCGCUCUGGUUCGGUACUCACAAACCAAAACAAGAAGAAGGGACAUCGAUGGUCUUGGCAUGGCAGAAGAAGGAAAUCCAUGGUUUCCAAACCUAUCGAUUCUUCUCCCGUACGUUAGUUUUUCAUUCCCUUUUUCUUCUUCCAAACACAUUUUCAGAUCUAAAUCUAUGCUUUUCAUACCCUUUUUCUUUUUUAAUUAACAAGAAAACAGAUUGAUGUGAAAAAUUGAAGGUGGAGUUAGAGAUAAAAUUGAUGAGAUUGAAUUCCAACCUCUUGACCGGUGUUGCCGCUGCUUUGAAAAUCGAUGAAUUGUUAUCUGCAAAUUUGAUCAGAUUGCAACUUUGUAAAUUGAUGAAUUGUUAUUCCUCUUUGAUUGUUGAUUAUGCUGCAUACGCAUAUGCACUCUCAUUAAGCUUCACUUUGGAUUAGAUUACCAGAUGAGGGGAAAAAGAAAGGAACGCAAGGUCUGUUUAUUUGCUUAGCACUCAGCAGCAUUUCGGUUUCUAUCUGCCGAAGUGAUGUUGGUUCGGAUCUUAACUACCAAAAUCAUAUUAGGGGCAAUUUCGUCAGUUUGAGGGGCCUGGGAGCAAUGCACAGGGGCCCAAAAAGCAAU
rnacentral:lncRNA from 1 species